ACCGAGCUCAGGCCGACGCCAAAUGCUGCCGCCGCGGGGGGCUGCCAGCACCACGACCGAACUGUUAAUGGAUUUUCCUGCUUCUCUGCUCAAGUACAACGGAAAGACUGUGUGCUAAAACUUCCAAUUAGUAAGAGGGAAGAAAAACGAACGGCAAUGAUUUUCUGAAAUCGUAAAACUGAAAUCGUCUUGCUUCCUCAUCCGGUUGCUUUUGUUUCCCCUUCAGUUUAAUACAGUCGCAAAGUCUAAUUUAAGACAUGUCCUAACUUAUUAUUUAUAUAGACUAUGGUCACCAGAAUCACGGCUGUAUUGAUGCCUGGAGAAGACAAACCAAAAUACUCCUGGUUGAAAACAUCACUCAUGGCUCUUAAGAGUUCUUACUCAAAGAUGUUGUGAGAAUAGAUCGCUGUUCUGGGACUUCAGCACCUGGAUCAGAAGAAACUGUGCUCAGCAUCUUUCAGCUCUCCCCACCUGCACUCGCCUGCUCAGAUCCAAAAUUUCUAUCAAAACCCCACAGCAGUCAUGUACACCGGACUCAAGUUGUAAGAAGG
rnacentral:lncRNA from 1 species